AUGGUGGCCUCUUUUGAUCUGUGGCACCAACGUCUCGGCCAUCCCAAUAAAAAUGUGUUAUCCACACUUCUUAGUGAAUUUUCAAUACCUUGUAAUAGAGACUCUCAUAAUUCUUCUAUGUGUCAGUCAUGUCAAUUAGGCAAACAUGUUCGUCUUCCCUUUAGUUCCUCUCAAUCCUCUAGUACUUUUCCUUUUGAAUUACUUCAUUGUGAUCUCUGGACAUCACCAAUAGAAAGUGUAUCCGGUUUUAAGUAUUAUCUCGUGAUUCUUGAUGAUUUUACUCAUUAUUUUUGGACUUUUCCUUUACGCAACAAAUCCGACGUUCAUAAUAUAUUCCUUAACUUUCAGCGCUAUGUCUCGGUCCACUUUUUUCUCCCUAUAAGAUUCAUACAAUGUGAUAAUGGUCGUGAACUUGACAACUUUAAAAAUCAAAGUUUUUUUCUACAAUAUGGAAUUCUCUUACGUUUCUCCUGUCCUUAUACCUCCCCUCAAAACGGCAAAGCCGAGCGUUCUCUUCGUACUCUUAGUGACAUCAUUCGCACUCUGCUUAUUCAAUCUUCUAUGUCGUCGAUGUUCUGGGCAGAGGCACUCCACACGGCAACAUAUUUACUCAAUAUUCAUCCAUCUAAAGUUAACCCACAAACUACUCCUUACUUCUCUUUAUUUCUCUCUCAUCCAAAUUACUCCGACAUUCGCGUUUUCGGUUGUCUUUGUUUUCCAAACUCCUACUCCACUUCUCCUAACAAACUUUCCCCGCGCUCUAUCCCGUGUGUCCAUCUAGGUUUUUCUGACGAACACAAGGGUUAUCGUUGUCUAGAUCUUGUUAGUGGUCGUGUUCAUGUGUUUCGUCAUGUAACAUUUGCUGAAAACAUUUUCCCCUUUUCCGAGCGUCAACAAUUAGAUUCCAACUCACCCGCGCCGUCCACUAGUCCCUCUCGUCGCAAUCAUCUUCCAUUCUUUCACCCGCCGACCAAUCUAGCGAAACCAGCCGUAGUAGCAGAUCCUGCUGCCACCACUUCUGUCAUCACCUCUGUCCCGGCAGAGGAAAACAUAUUACACUAUGACGCGGCAGACCUCCUGCAGCCGCAGUCUUCACCACCAUCUCCCGCGUCCGCUUCCUCCGCUGCGCCGGACGCCUCCACCACAUCUUCCCCCACCCCUCCUGCUCAUGCUAUUCCCGUUCCAGCUCCUACUAACGAUCAUACCAUGCGCACACGUGCCAAGUCCGGGUUUCGUUUACCUGCAAAAGAUCGUCUCAAUCUUCAUGCAUCUUUAUCUCCUUCCUCUCUACCCAAAUCUUACAAAUCAGCUCUCCUAGAUCCUAAUUGGGCCGCAGCUAUGAAAGAUAAAUAUGAUGCCCUUCUACAGAAUAACACGUGGCAGUUAGUUCCUCGUCCUUCCAAUACAAAUAUCAUUUUGGGCAAAUGGUUUUUUCGCCAUAAAUUUAAUUCUGAUGGGAGUCUUGCACGUUAUAAGGCUCGAUGGGUAUGCCGUGGUUACUCUCAGCAACACGGCAUCGAUUAUGAUGAGACUUUCUCUCCAGUUGUCAAGCCCAGCACUAUUCACACUGUCCUUAGCAUCGCCGUCUCUUCUUCCUGGCUAAUUCAUCAACUCGAUGUAAAAAAUGCUUUUCUUCAUGGCUCUCUUCAAGAAACGGUCUAUUGUUAA
rnacentral:rRNA from 1 species